GCAGUUAGGCGCGGCUGGGGAGGCUGGGGACUGCGGCUACGGCUGGGCGGAGAGCGUGCUGGGCCUUUGCUUUCCCAGACUUGCAGUCUCGUCCUCUCCCUCCCCAGUCCUGCCCUCCCUCUCCACCGCAGCAGCAGCCACCUGGAGCCUCGCACAAAGCAGGGUGGAUGCGCGCUCCUCUGCGCUGCUGCCUGCGUGCCUUGCUCACCCAGACCACUGCACCUCAGAAACGUCCCUGGCUGGCCCGCCGGGAGGGAGCCAGACAGAGCCAGACUUCUAGAAGGCUUCCUGUAUACCCCUGGUCUACAUGUCCUCCCUACUUCUUGUGGACUCUGGCUUCUGACCCACAUCACUCAACAGGGAAUGGCCGUCUCCAAGCAGUGUUCAUCAGUGGUGGAGUUCUAAGGGAUGUUUCCACAUGGGGACGGAGAUCCAAGAGCUGAUGAAGAGAUCCAUGGACAGGAGACUGAAGGAAGCCCUGGGAAGGACAAGGGAGCUGUUUGGACACCAGAAGAGCCUUCUCGUUUUCCAGUGUUGUGGAAUCGAUUUCCAGAGUGUUUCCAUUUCCUGUGAUAAAAGAAAGGUGUUUCCAGGACUCCAGCAGCUGGACAUCCCCUAACAUGCCAGGCAGGAGCCUUGCAGAUAAGAGCUCAGUUGAGUCUGAGAUGCUCUCUGCAAGGAACCAAAUCUUCCCAAAGCUCCAAAAGAGAAUGCCUGGUAGUGUAUUUUAAUCUUUACAUGGCGGUAUGUUGGUUGUUUCUGUUGCUGAUAUUGGUAUUGUUUUUAUUAUUGUCAUUGUUGUUUUGGUUAUUAAGCUCGCUUAUAAAGCUUAUAAAGCCUGCCAUUGUCCAUAUUGAUGCUGUGGCUGCUUUUUGCUGUCCCUGACCCUAGUGCUGAAAUAGGUCCCUGCUCCUUGGCUUUCCCUGGCCAUGGUGCUGACAGCAAUAUCAACUUCUAUCUCUUCAUAGAAGCUCUGGCCCUUGGUGUCUGUGUGUCUGUGUGGUGGUGUGGGGGGAUGGAUGUGAGAUGGCACUUGAUUAAACUCUAGAAUCCUUAUGGUUCCGGGGAUUUCUCACUAGCUAAAAGACCCUGGGGUUGGGGAGGGAUCUUGUUUUCUUCUGCUGCUUUGCUCGGUUGUCUUCUCUUCCAGCCACUAAGGACCCAACCUGGACAGUUCACAAGCACAUCCAGGGUCUGCAGCCUGAGAAAUGCCUACCAUGAUUCUUUCUUACUGUCAACCAGUUGGUUGGACACUUCCAGAGCAGCUGUGCACACAGACGUCUGCCUGUUCCGGACUCCAGUUGCUGCUACAUCCUGACUCUUCCUCCGAGAGAAGUGACCGGCCUUGUCCAGAGUUCCAUCACCAAGUCCCAGAUGGAGGAUACUCAGCCUAAGCCGAUGGACUCUUCUUCUCAGGACCUCCCUACCACCCUGUUCCUUUCCCACCCAGCAGAGUGAGUGCCAGAGCUCAGAGAAUGCUGCAAGAGCCCUGCAUUUAGAGUUGGAUGACACGGAUUUGAAUUCUGGCCCUGCUACUUCUACUUAUGUGAAUUCUGACAAGUCACUUCACCUCUCUGGGCCUCAGUUUCCCCCUUUGUAAAAUGAGAGGGAUUGCACCUCAGAAGACCCUUUACAUACUAGAUUUAUGACCCAAGGGUCUAUUAAUGAGUUCCUGCCUUGGCUCCCGUCCCACAGAGAAGGAUGGCCUCUGAAUUUGAACAGAAGAUCCAGAAUAAUGCUGCCUCCAGAGGCAGAGCCCCAGGUAAAGGCACAUGUAUGGGGCUCUGGGGAAGAGUUCCAGCAUGGCACAGCUGCCUACCUGGGGGAUUUAUAGAGCCUCCAGGGAGACUUUCCUUCUCUUCAAUCCUGGCUUCUUCUACAUGAGGUGCAGAGGGGUGAACACUGACUCAAAUUCAGGGUCAAGCUUAAGGAUUCUCCAGCCUAGGGAAGGGCUUGAUAUAUAGCAAAGACCACUGGAUUUGGCAUCAGAAGACCUGGGUUAGAACUCAGGUUCUGUUAGGAGCUAUGUAGCCUUGGGAAGUGCCUUCAACUCUCUGACCUUGGUUUCCUCACCUGUGAAAGGAGGGGGUUGGAUUAGAUGGUCUUUACAGGUCUUUAACUCUAAGCCUGAUGCUUCUUUGCCAAUCCCUACCAAGUAGUACUUCUCCCUCCCCCCUCCUACUAGGGCACCCAGCCUGUGGCCAAAACCAUUCUCUCAAUAAUGCCUUCCCUAACUCCACUUAGAAAGGCCCCUUCAGGAGGGAAUAGGGAUGCAAAAUUGGAAGAUGGAAGUCUCAAGGGUGAGUGGUGGGGGAAGUGCGGGGAGCCUGGAUUCCUAGAUAGAGACCUUUCUGUUUCCCAUCCUUUAUUGUUCAAUCCUUUCUCAAAGGCACCAUCUUUUUGGAGAGUUGGUGGGAUUCCCCAGAAUCAUUGGGGAAGAAUCUGCCCCCCUUCACUGGAGGAGGACUGGUGGAGGGGAGGAAGGAAUGUUCUGCAGAUGAAAUGAAUGUAGACAAUUUUUUCGCCCCUGUGAAUGCGUGGAGCAGUAUUCUAGAACUGCAUGACUUUGGAGUUCUCCAGGUUUUCUAGUCCAGAUCUUGGGCCAAGGUCCUGCUCUGCUCAGCCAGGGGACAGGUGCCUAGCAGUCAGAAGGGGAAAGUGAGUGAAAUGUGGCACCUGAGUAAACUUGCUCUCCCCCAAUUCCCUAGAUACCCCCAUUGACCAAGGGUCAUGCCCAGUAGGAUAAGUAUUGGGAAGAGGUGGCCAGGGUCCAAUUUGGUCAUCUGUCAAACCAUAGCUGAGGUGAUGACAGAUCUCAUGUUGACCCCUCUGCCCAUUGGUUUUCCUUUCUGACAACUGUUGUCCUGUCAUUGCAAAGUUCUGCCUAUUGGUGGGAGGAAGGCAAGCAGGAGAGAGACUCUAAACUGGGUGCACAGCUGGGGCUCCUUGGACCAGAUACUUGACCUCUAGGGUCCAUUGAUUCAUCUGCAAAAUAAGGGUAAUGAGGUCUCACCUUCUGGAAGGCAGGGGAUUGGAUUAGUUGACCUAAUGAGAUUCCUUCCUGCUCUAGUAUCUGCGGUGUCAAGACCUCUGGUGGUGGUGGAUGGUCUGGUGCAAACUUGGAAACACAGUGGCUGCCUUAAGACUCAUGUCCUGUCACUGGAGGUCAAAGAGAGGGUGUAUUGCUACCUUCUAGGUCUAUAUACCCUUGUCACUAGGUAGGAGAUGGGGCUGCAGGUGCUUAAGGCCAUCAGCAAUGACCUCCUUGGGGUGGAUGCCUUUGGCCCUUCAGCCCUUAACUAUGACAGGGCUGUGGAGGGAGUAGUUUUGGAGAGGGUUUGGUUAUGUUCUAUGAUCUCCUGGAAGGGGUUGGGACAUGACCCAGAGGGUCCCCACUUCUGUAGUGUAGUGGAGAAAACACUGGAUGUGGAGUUAGAGGAAAUGAGUUCAUUUCCCACCUCCACUGCUUGUUUUCUGUGUGACCUUGGGCAAGUCACUUAACUUGAGCCUCAGUUUUCUCAUCUAUAAAGUGAGGAAGUUGGACCCAAUGACCUCUACCCUAAAUCUAUGAUCGUGUAAUAACCCAUUAAGGAUGUCUGUCCUCUGUGGGUUCAAAUGACUCCUUUUGAAAACUAUUUAUCUGCUCAGCAUAUUCCACCUCUUAGAGUUCAUGAGUCAGUAAGAACCAUGGUCUAGACUGUGAAAAGCCCUUGUGUAGGACGUCUGGAUUCUAGCUCCAGGUUGGCUGCAAAUUGUCUGUGUGAACUUGAGCAAGUCAUGGCUCCUCUCUGAGCCUCAGUUUCCUUUUCUGCACAAUUAGGGCAAUGGACAAGAUGACCUGUAAGCUAUAUUGUUCCUAAACCUACUCUUUUAGAGACUUGAAAGGGUAUUGGUGGUCCCAGUUCUUAACUCCUCCACCUCAGUAUUCAGUAUCCCAGCAUACCCCUCAUACUUUAGCUCCUGCCUGCUGUCUUGGGACAUGGAAGAAUACUUUCUGAUGAAUUCUCUGGCAGUUUCUAUGCUGCCUGAACCCUGGAUAUGGUCCCUACAGGAGAGCCUCAGUGCAAACUGGUGGAGGGGAGGAAUGUUUUACAGGUGAAAUGAAUGCAGACCAGUUUUUUCCUCCAUGUGAGUGGAUGGAGCAAUAUUUUAGAACAGCUUUGGAGCCCCCCAGGUUUUCCAGUCCAGUUCUUGUACCAAGGUCCUGCCUUGCUCAGUUAAAGGAUGGUGUCUAGCAGUCAGAUGGGGAAAGUGAGUGGAAUGUGAAGCCUAAGCAAGAUUAAUACCACCCUCCCCCAUCCCCAGACAUUCCCAUUGACCAAUAUUUUUGAUUAUCAGGAGUUAGAAACCCAAGCUUGGAGAGGGUGUGUCAAACCCCCCCCCCCCACAAAAAACAAACAAAAAACCCCCCAAAAUAAAAAACCCAGCCACAUUUCUCAAGUAGUCUGGAAGUUUUCUCAGCCUUUAGCCUCAUUUCAUUCCAAUUCAACCCUCCAGGGGUUUAUUGACUUUAUAAUGCAUGAAAAAAAGUAUAAUGCUAGACACUUGGACAUUGAGGAGAGCCUGGUCCUGCCCUCAGGAAGCUUAUAGUCUAGCGGGAGAAAUCAGACUUCUGCAUGUAAAUCAGAACAACAGAAGUUGAUAUAAGACUCUGGGAAUGGCAGCAUAGUUCAGAGACAAGAACCCUGGAUUUAGAGCCAGAGGACCUGUGUUCAAAUCCUGCCUCCACCAUUUACUACCUGUGUGACCGCGGACAAGUUACUUCAACUUCCUGGGCCUUCAUUUUCUUCUCCACAAAGUGGAGGGUUGGUUAGAUGACCUCUGAGGUCUCUUCCUGCUUUAGGUCUGUGAUCCUGUGAUGCAAAGCCAAGACAGACAGUAAGGAGAAGGGAGAAGCAUGGGCUUGGGGGAGGCAGGGCAGGUCCCAUGGAGGCAGAGCCAUAACUAGAAAUUUCUCUACCUGGGCCAGGUGGCAUCAGCAGCAAUAGUGUGGGGAGGCAAGGAGAGGCUUACUUGGAGCAGGAGGCCUUGAGAUACUAGGAGGCUUCCAAGCUUUCCCACUUGGAAAAGACUUCUAUCGCUGCCCCCUCCAAUGGGACUGCAGAUGAAGCAUCCCUGGGAUAGUGGCCUUAGUACCCUCUC